AUCCCUUUAUUAUGUGACCCCAUAGGUUCAAUUCUAUCUGGUAGUGAGAUAUACAAUGAUCUCUAUCAUAGUAUUAUUGAAACUCUUUUCAAUAGAUCGAAAUAAUUCCACUCUAAUUCAUCAGGGAUUGUCGAUCCUCAACAAUCCUAGUGAGCUCUCACAAUCCAUCAGUGAUACUUACCAGUAUGUAAUGACAAUCCAGUAAAAUCAAAAUAGAACCUCAAGGUGUAGUUCACAUGUGAUUCUAUCCCUCUAUCGUAAGUCCCGACUAGAUAACAUAUCAUGGAUAAAUUAUCAAAUCUCAUCAUCAGUCGUAUGAUAGAUUCGAUUAGUUCAAAUCCAAUUAUGAUCCUUAUGAAAAUUUUUUUUCUUCGAUCAUACUGCUGUGGCCACAGACUCUUAGACUUAGCCUCUCAAAUCUUAUAGGACUACUCCUCUCUAUCAAGAUCAAUAGAUUCCAUCUGGAUGCGUAUCCUACUCCUAUAGUAGACCAACUAUCGUCAAUAUUCACUACAAGGACUCAACGAGCUCAUAUUUAUGUGUCAGUCAAACUCCAGUAACUUCACUGUGAGUAAUCAAACCAUCACAAGUCAAAGGAUCAUUCACACAACAACAGCAUCGAGACAAUCACUAAUGAUCG
rnacentral:lncRNA from 1 species